UACGUAGGGCGCAAGCGUUAUCCGGAAUUAUUGGGCGUAAAGAGCUCGUAGGCGGUUUGUCGCGUCUGCCGUGAAAGUCCGGGGCUCAACUCCGGAUCUGCGGUGGGUACGGGCAGACUAGAGUGAUGUAGGGGAGACUGGAACUCCUGGUGUAGCGGUGAAAUGCGCAGGUAUCAGGAGGAGCACCGAUGGCGAAGGCAGGUCUCUGGGCAUUAACUGACGCUGAGGAGCGAAAGCAUGGGGAGCGAACAGG
rnacentral:rRNA from 1 species